rnacentral:rRNA from 1 species
AGUUGCGAAGGCGGCUCUCUGGACUGUAACUGACGCUGAGGCACGAAAGCGUGGGGAGCAAACAGGAUUAGAUACCCUGGUAGUCCACGCUGUAAACGAUGAGUACUAGGUGUCGGGGGUUACCCCCCUCGGUGCCGCAGCUAACGCAUUAAGUACUCCGCCUGGGAAGUACGCUCGCAAGAGUGAAACUCAAAGGAAGUGACGGGGACCCGCACAAGUAGCGGAGCAUGUGGUUUAAUUCGAAGCAACGCGAAGAACCUUACCUAAGCUUGACAUCCCAAUGACAUCUCCUUAAUCGGAGAGUUCCCUUCGGGGACAUUGGUGACAGGUGGUGCAUGGUUGUCGUCAGCUCGUGUCGUGAGAUGUUGGGUUAAGUCCCGCAACGAGCGCAACCCUUGUCUUUAGUUGCCAUCAUUAAGUUGGGCACUCUAGAGAGACUGCCAGGGAUAA